rnacentral:rRNA from 1 species
GAUGAACGCUGGCGGCGUGCCUAAUACAUGCAAGUCGAGCGAACAGAUAAGGAGCUUGCUCCUUUGACGUUAGCGGCGGACGGGUGAGUAACACGUGGGUAACCUACCUAUAAGACUGGAAUAACUCCGGGAAACCGGGGCUAAUGCCGGAUAACAUUUAGAACCGCAUGGUUCUAAAGUGAAAGAUGGUUUUGCUAUCACUUAUAGAUGGACCCGCGCCGUAUUAGCUAGUUGGUAAGGUAACGGCUUACCAAGGCAACGAUACGUAGCCGACCUGAGAGGGUGAUCGGCCACACUGGAACUGAGACACGGUCCAGACUCCUACGGGAGGCAGCAGUAGGGAAUCUUCCGCAAUGGGCGAAAGCCUGACGGAGCAACGCCGCGUGAGUGAUGAAGGUCUUCGGAUCGUAAAACUCUGUUAUUAGGGAAGAACAAAUGUGUAAGUAACUAUGCACGUCUUG